rnacentral:rRNA from 1 species
GUGCUUACCAUGCAGUCGAACGCUGAAGCUCCAGCUUGCUGGGGUGGAUGAGUGGCGAACGGGUGAGUAAUACGUGAGUAACCUGCCCUUGACUCUGGGAUAAGCCUGGGAAACCGGGUCUAAUACUGGAUACGACUCCUCAUCGCAUGGUGGGGUGUGGAAAGUGUUUUACUGGUUUUGGAUGGGCUCACGCCCUAUCACCUUGUUGAUGUGGUAAUGGACUACCAAGACGACCACUGGGUAGCCAAAACUGAAAAGGGGACCGUGCACACUGGGACUGAUACGCAUUGUCCCACUCCUAGCGGGAGGACAGAAUGGGGGAGUAUUG